CUCUCCACCUCUCUCUGGGCCUCAGUUAUCUGUUUUUUUGUUCUCUCUUUGAACAAGACCAAAAACCCAGUUGGAGUUUUGUAGUUUCAAACCGCCAGAUCUGUUCUACAGUGCUAGAUCGGGUUUUUGGUUGUUGUUAUGUGAGAUUUGGGAGCUGGGUUUUGUGUAGGAGGUUGUUUGUGAUGGUGGGUGUGGA